rnacentral:lncRNA from 1 species
UUUUCAGACAAUACAGCUUCAAUGUCUCAAAUUUCCCUUGCCUACAACGAAGCGACUGAAUAUAUAUUAUUAAUUUACUUCUCGUAGAAUUGUGAGUGGUUAAUGAUUGGAAAUGUCGAAUUGUGAGUUUUAUUCAACUUGACAGUCGAUUUGGCAAACGAGCACAAGCAAGUAAAAUUAGGGAUAUUUUGAAAAGAGCGGACC